rnacentral:rRNA from 1 species
GAGUUUGAUCCUGGCUCAGAUUGAACGCUGGCGGCAGGCCUAACACAUGCAAGUCGAGCGGUAGAGAGAAGCUUGCUUCUCUUGAGAGCGGCGGACGGGUGAGUAAUGCCUAGGAAUCUGCCUGGUAGUGGGGGAUAACGCUCGGAAACGGACGCUAAUACCGCAUACGUCCUACGGGAGAAAGCAGGGGACCUUCGGGCCUUGCGCUAUCAGAUGAGCCUAGGUCGGAUUAGCUAGUUGGUGAGGUAAUGGCUCACCAAGGCGACGAUCCGUAACUGGUCUGAGAGGAUGAUCAGUCACACUGGAACUGAGACACGGUCCAGACUCCUACGGGAGGCAGCAGUGGGGAAUAUUGGACAAUGGGCGAAAGCCUGAUCCAGCCAUGCCGCGUGUGU